GGCGCGGCGCAGGGCGGUAAACAAGAUGGCGGCGGCGUGUCGGUCUAGGAAAGGGGAGGCGGCUCACGGCGUCCGCGAGUGAGGCGCGAGUCGCCGAGGGCGGCGCCGGCGUGGAGUUGUCUCUCGCGGGCAGCAUCUUUCUGCCUGGAGUUCGAUUCCCCCCUCGCCGCUCCGGCCUCCUGCCUGUCGCGCGGCGGCUAGGCGGCGAGGGGGACGCGCCGCCUGGGGUGGUUUUUUUCCCCCCUCGGUCCCCGGAAGAUUUCCUGUCCGGAUUUCGUGUCCGCGACUUGCGGGUGUCCCGGUGUCCCGCGUCCGGGUGGAGUCUGCGCCCCGAGAAGUCGUAGAACUAAGGGGCCGCGCGCGGCUUCGGCGCGGGCCGGACAUGGACGGCGCGGACCGGCCUCGACGCGGCCGCCUGGGCCCCUGAGCGCGGGGCCCAAGUGGCGAACAUGACCUAGCGGCCCGCGCGCCGCGACGGCGGACCGUCGCCUCCGUCGGAAGCAGCGUCCCCGGGGACCCGAAUUGGGGGGACGCGAGGGUUGGGGGGGCUCAUUGCUUUUUUUUUUUUCAUUCUUAUUUUCAUUUUUUUUCUCCCUGAGCACCUAGAAGAAAAGGGGAAAAUCAAAAGUGAAGAAUUGGCGCCCAGGAAGCGGACGUGGACCCGGUUGUGGGGACCGGGAGAGUUGUGGAGGUCGUUCCUGUUUUUCCCCGUUCCUUUUUUCCCCUUCUUGGAACAUUUGGAAGAAGCGGGUGGGGGGGGGGGAAUUCGAACUUGAAAAGAAUUGGCGCUCCCGAAGGGGACGAGGACAAAGAGUGGGCCAGGAUGGACGUGGCGGACCCCGAGCCGUUGGGCCUUUUCUCCGAGGGCGAGCUGAUGUCGGUGGGCAUGGACACCUUCAUCCACCGCAUCGACUCCACCGAGGUAAUCUACCAGCCGCGCCGCAAACGCGCCAAGCUCAUCGGCAAGUACCUGAUGGGGGACCUGCUCGGGGAGGGCUCGUACGGCAAGGUGAAGGAGGUGCUGGACUCCGAGACCUUAUGCCGCAGGGCGGUCAAGAUCCUCAAGAAGAAAAAGCUGCGCAGGAUCCCCAAUGGAGAGGCCAACGUCAAGAAGGAGAUCCAGCUGCUGCGGCGGCUGCGGCAUCGGAAUGUGAUCCAGCUUGUGGACGUGCUGUACAAUGAGGAGAAGCAGAAGAUGUAUAUGGUGAUGGAGUACUGCGUAUGUGGCAUGCAGGAGAUGCUGGACAGUGUGCCGGAGAAGCGCUUCCCUGUGUGCCAAGCUCAUGGGUACUUCCGCCAGCUGAUUGACGGCCUGGAAUACCUACACAGCCAGGGCAUUGUUCACAAGGACAUCAAGCCGGGCAACCUGCUACUCACCACCAAUGGCACACUCAAGAUCUCCGACCUCGGUGUUGCCGAGGCCCUGCACCCUUUCGCUGUGGAUGACACCUGCCGGACAAGCCAGGGCUCCCCGGCCUUCCAGCCUCCUGAGAUUGCCAAUGGACUGGACACCUUUUCAGGUUUCAAGGUGGACAUCUGGUCAGCUGGGGUCACACUUUACAACAUCACCACGGGCCUGUACCCAUUUGAGGGGGACAAUAUCUACAAGCUCUUUGAGAACAUUGGGAGAGGAGACUUCACCAUCCCUUGUGACUGCGGCCCACCACUCUCUGACCUACUCCGAGGGAUGUUGGAGUAUGAGCCGGCCAAGAGGUUCUCCAUCCGACAGAUUAGGCAGCACAGCUGGUUCCGGAAGAAACACCCUCUGGCUGAGGCGCUCGUACCUAUCCCACCAAGCCCAGACACUAAGGACCGCUGGCGCAGUAUGACUGUAGUGCCCUACCUGGAGGACCUGCAUGGCCGUGCGGAGGAGGAGGAGGAGGAAGACUUGUUUGACAUUGAGGACGGCAUUAUCUACACCCAGGACUUCACAGUGCCUGGUGUCGAGGAGGCGGCCGAGGCAGGGCUUAGCGAGGAUGCAUGCGACACAUGCAUGUGGAAGAGCCAGGGCGCAGGCCUUCCUGGAGAGGAGCCCGAGGAGGGGUUUGGGGCUUUAGUGUAGCUCCCUGUCUGCUGCCCCACCCAUGUCCUCCAUAAAGCUUUGUCCACUGUGUCUGCAGGUGGAUGCUUGCCGCGACUUCCCUCCUGUCACUACCCUGACAGGCUCCCCACCAGGGUUUCAGAGAACAUGCCUGGGUCCAAGGCCUGAGCUAGGUCCUCAGUGCCAGGGUGGCCACCAGCCAGGGGCUCUUGGGGCCUUUGUUCCUGUGGCCUGCAUGCCAGUCCCACUUAGCUCCUGGCCUUUCAAAUAGCUUUGGUGGGAGGGUAAGGACCUUGGGCUACUGUGUCUCCUGUAGCAAUUGAGAGUUCUAAUAGCAGUGCCCGCUGGGUGCCAGGUGGAAUCCACAAGGACAGGUAUACACCUGAUGUCCAGUAUGGGCCUUGGCCACAGCCCUUUCUAAGGUUUAAAGCAUCCCUAUGUGGGAAUAGUGUCUUCUACUCUGUCACGUGGAGCCCUUGUCUAGACUGUCCCACAGGCUGGGCUCCUGGCUGAGAGCUGGUUUCUCUGCUGGGGAGAAGAUGUACUUAGGUGCUGGUUGCAUGAGGGACCCUUAAGGCUGCUGUGGUUUGAAGGAAGGCAAGGGUCUGGGGACACUGGUUGGCCAUGGAGCCCAUUUGUCAAAUGGGGUAGUGUUGCACAGAGUGAAGUGACCGUGCUCUGAGGAUAGCCUGAUCCCUCUGUACUUGGCAUGAGGGUCGGACUCUGCAGCAACAGGACAGGGGCUUUCUACUCAGUGCCUUGUGUGGAGGAGGGGACAGAUGCUUUCUCAGAGUCCACCUGACCUCAAGCCUCAGUCCCAUGCAGAGUGAGCCAGAGUGGGUGCUGCUAGUGUGGCCAAGUCAGAGGGUUUGGGAGAGAAAUUCUGGAUCCAGGAGCGUGGGCAGUGGGCUGUGUGCUGGGUUCCACAGCCGCAUUGCCAAGCACUGGACUGUGGAGUUACAUGUAGACACUGACCUCUGGAGCCUGGGAAGCUUCAGGAGAGGCCAUCUUUUGUCCCACUGCGAGGGCAGGCCAACAGAGCAAGCUGGUCUGCAGCCCUCAGCUGGAUGAUCUCCUUCCCGGUGCUCAUCGCAGCUAGUAGCUCCCAGGCCGAAUGCUUCAUCUCCUUGUGCCUGUACUGAGGGUCUAGAGCCUCUCCCUUGGAGAGCUCUGUGAGCUGGUGCUGGGCUGCCCAGGCUAGACAGGCAGGACAGGUCCUGGAAGAGGAAGUGGGUCAGAAUGGACAGAGCCACAGUUUGCCCAAGGCUGUUUGUGUGAAUGGCACAGAGCCCCAGCUCAGCAGCAAGGUGAAGCCAGAAGGCCGACCUGGCACCGCCAACCCUGCGCGCAAGGUGUGCUCCAGCAACAAGAUCCGCCGGCUCUCGGCCUGCAAGCAGCAGUGACUGAGGCCUACAGUGUGUCAUCAGGAUCUCUGGGCAGGUGUCCCUGCAAGGCUGGGUUUUCCAGGCCUGCCUGUCCACUCACUUCGGGACGUUGGAGCCGAGGGCGGACCUGCUGCCCCAGAAGCACUUUAUGUCGAGACCACUGGCCGGCCUUGCCUGCAUGCCGCCCUGCGAGCCUCGCUGUCUUUGGGUUGGUUUCUUUUUUUUUAAUAAAACAGGUGGAUUUGAGCUAUGGCUAUGAGGGUGUUUGGAAAUAUGGAGCAGGCGGGGCACAGGGUGGCCUGCAGAGAAAACCCAGAGCAAACAAAUAUGCAGAGACAUUUAUGAUUAACCAGACAACACGACCAACCACAGAGGGCGCAGGGCAGGGAGUGGGCAGGCACUCACAGCGAGUCUGCCCUAUCUUUUGGCAAUAAAUAAAGCUUGGGAAACUUGAA